UACGAAGGGGGCUAGCGUUGCUCGGAAUCACUGGGCGUAAAGCGCACGUAGGCGGCUUCUUAAGUCAGGGGUGAAAUCCUGGAGCUCAACUCCAGAACUGCCUUUGAUACUGAGGAGCUUGAGUCCGGGAGAGGUGAGUGGAACUGCGAGUGUAGAGGUGAAAUUCGUAGAUAUUCGCAAGAACACCAGUGGCGAAGGCGGCUCACUGGCCCGGUACUGACGCUGAGGUGCGAAAGCGUGGGGAGCA
rnacentral:rRNA from 1 species